UGAGGAUGGCAGCUCUGUCCCCCACAUUUGCCACGCCCACCCAGGAUUCUACCUGUCUCCAGGACUCAGAAUUUCCUGUUUCUUCAAAAGACCGUUCCUGUCCCCAGAAUUUGGACCUGUUCGCGUGCAGUGGUCUGGAGCCUCACACACCCAGUGCUGGUUCCCAGGUGCACUAAGAUCUCUGGGUCCCUAGAGCAGGAGAGGCACUUCCUGGAAGACCCCACCAGUGCAUGCUGGAAUUCUUGCAGAGCUUCAUCUCAGCCAAUGGAUGCCAGAACAGGGCCCAAGAGAGAGCCAAGGAAUACUGGGGCUGUCCUGGUGUUGGGAAAGUUAGGGGAAGUGAUUUAUGUAGCAUCUGUUUCCCUCAUGCUUGCAAAAUCUCAGGCCCAUGCUCAGCCCCAGAGACGGGGGGAAAUAAAGGGAAAAGCUCUCGGAGUGGGCUAGAACUGGAGGGAGAUUAGUCCCUUGUCAGGGUUGCAUCUGAAGCGACGGCACAGGACAAGAUGGCCUCACUGGGGAGAGAGGAUGUCUGAGGACUGACGCCUGGAGGAAAUGUUGAGCCCCGUAGCAGGCCAUCUGGAAAUCCUGUGUUGGGUCUCUCAUGCCCGGUCUUCAACCUCAGCCAUCUUACCAUGAACAUCGUUAGGCUGGUUCCUCACUGACCCCAAGUUUGUGUGGCGUUCCAGGAAUCGGUGACUUUCCAAGAUGUCGCUGUGGACUUUACCGAGAAGGAGUGGCCCUUGCUGGAUUCUUCUCAGAGAAAACUGUACAAAGAUGUAAUGCUGGAGAACUACAGCAACCUCACUUCACUGGGGUAUCAGGUCGGCAAACCCAGCCUCAUCUCACACUUGGAGCAGGAGGAGGAGCCGAGGACAGAGGAGAGGGGCGCUCACCAGGGCGCUUGUGCAGAUUGGGAGACUCCAUCUAAAACCAAGUGGUCACUUCUUAUGGAAGAUAUUUUUGGGAAGGAAACGCCCAGUGGUGUGACGAUGGAAAGAGCCGGUCUUGGAGAGAAGUCCACUGAAUACGCUCACUUGUUCGAAGUCUUUGGCAUGGACCCUCAUCUCACUCAGCCAAUGGGAAGGCACGCUGGCAAGAGGCCCUAUCACCGCCGCGACUAUGGGGUAGCGUUCAAGGGCAGGCCGCACCUCACUCAGCACAUGAGCAUGUACGACGGGAGAAAAAUGCAUGAAUGUCAUCAGUGCCAAAAAGCCUUCACCACGAGCGCGUCCCUCACACGGCACAGGAGAAUCCACACCGGGGAGAAGCCUUACGAGUGCAGCGAUUGCGGGAAAGCCUUCAACGACCCUUCAGCCCUUAGGAGCCACGCAAGAACUCACCUCAAAGAGAAGCCCUUUGACUGCAGUCAGUGUGGAAAUGCAUUCCGGACCCUCUCGGCCCUGAAAAUCCACAUGAGAGUUCACACUGGCGAGAGGCCUUACAAGUGUGAUCAGUGCGGGAAGGCUUACGGCCGGAGCUGCCACCUCAUCGCACACAAGAGAACGCACACCGGAGAGAGGCCCUACGAGUGUCACGACUGUGGGAAAGCUUUCCAGCACCCCUCCCACCUCAAAGAGCACGUGAGGAAUCACACGGGGGAGAAGCCCUACGCGUGCACGCAGUGCGGCAAAGCCUUCCGCUGGAAGUCCAACUUUAAUUUGCACAAGAAGAACCACAUGGUGGAGAAGACCUACGAAUGUAAAGAAUGCGGGAAAUCCUUUGGCGAUCUCGUGUCCCGGAGGAAACACAUGAGGAUUCACAUCGUCAAGAAACCCGUGGAAUGUCGGCAGUGCGGGAAGACCUUCCGAAACCAGUCCAUCCUUAAGACUCACAUGAACUCUCACACUGGAGAGAAACCAUACGGGUGCGAUCUCUGCGGGAAAGCUUUCAGCGCGAGUUCAAACCUCACCGCACACAGGAAGAUACACACGCAAGAGAGACGCUACGAAUGCGCCGCCUGCGGGAAAGUCUUCGGUGACUAUUUAUCCCGGCGGAGGCACAUGAGCAUUCACCUUGUAAAGAAACGAGUUGAGUGUAGGCAGUGUGGCAAGGCCUUCAGGAACCAGUCAACGCUGAAGACGCACAUGCGAAGCCACACGGGGGAGAAACCGUACGAAUGCGAUCACUGUGGGAAGGCCUUCAGCAUAGGCUCCAACCUGAAUGUGCACAGGAGGAUCCACACCGGGGAGAAGCCCUACGAAUGCCUUGUCUGCGGGAAAGCCUUCAGCGACCACUCAUCCCUCAGGAGCCACGUGAAAACUCACCGAGGAGAGAAGCUCUUUGUGUCAUCCGUGUGGAAAAGGCUCCAGUGA
rnacentral:sRNA from 1 species